UAUUGUCUACGUACCACCCUGAACGUGCCGGAUCUCGCCUGAUCUCGGAAGCUAAGCAGGGUCGGGCCUGGUUAGUACUUGGAUGGGAGAAAUAAACAAGUACUACAAAAU
rnacentral:rRNA from 1 species